rnacentral:rRNA from 1 species
AUUGAACGCUGGCGGCAGGCCUAACACAUGCAAGUCGAGCGAGCGGCGGACGGGUGAGUAAUGUAUGGGAACCUGCCUGAUGGAGGGGGAUAACUACUGGAAACGGUGGCUACUACCGCAUACCAUCAGAUGUGCCCAUAUGGGAUUAGCUAGUGGGUGGGGUAAAGGCUCCCCUAGGCGACGAUCCCUAGCUGGUCUGAGAGGAUGAUCAGCCACACUGGGACUGAGACACGGCCCAGACUCCUACGGGAGGCAGCAGUGGGGAAUAUUGUACAAUGGGCGCAAGCCUGAUGCAGCCAUGCCGCGUGUAUGAAGAAGGCCUUCGGGUUGUAAAGCACUUUCAGCGGGGAGGCGUUACCCGCAGAAGAAGCACCGGCUAACUCCGUGCCAGCAGCCGCGGUAAUAC